rnacentral:rRNA from 1 species
GAAAAGAAAUCAACCGAGAUUCCCCCAGUAGCGGCGAGCGAACGGGGAGCAGCCCAGAGCCUGAAUCAGUGUGUGUGUUAGUGGAAGCGUCUGGAAAGGCGUGCGAUACAGGGUGACAGCCCCGUACACAAAAAUGCACAUAUUGUGAGCUCGAUGAGUAGGGCGGGACACGUGGUAUCCUGUCUGAAUAUGGGGGGACCAUCCUCCAAGGCUAAAUACUCCUGACUGACCGAUAGUGAACCAGUACCGUGAGGGAAAGGCGAAAAGAACCCCGGCGAGGGGAGUGAAAAAGAACCUGAAACCGUGUACGUACAAGCAGUGGGAGCACGCUUAGGCGUGUGACUGCGUACCUUUUGUAUAAUGGGUCAGCGACUUAUAUUCUGUAGCAAGGUUAACCGAAUAGGGGAGCCGAAGGGAAACCGAGUCUUAACUGGGCGUUAAGUUGCAGGGUAUAGACCCGAAACCCGGUGAUCUAGCCAUGGGCAGGUUGAAGGUUGGGUAACACUAACUGGAGGACCGAACCGACUAAUGUUGAAAAAUUAGCGGAUGACUUGUGGCUGGGGGUGAAAGGCCAAUCAAACCGGGAGAUAGCUGGUUCUCCCCGAAAGCUAUUUAGGUAGCGCCUCGUGAAUUCAUCUCCGGGGGUAGAGCACUGUUUCGGCAAGGGGGUCAUCCCGACUUACCAACCCGAUGCAAACUGCGAAUACCGGAGAAUGUUAUCACGGGAGACACACGGCGGGUGCUAACGUCCGUCGUGAAGAGGGAAACAACCCAGACCGCCAGCUAAGGUCCCAAAGUCAUGGUUAAGUGGGAAACGAUGUGGGAAGGCCCAGACAGCCAGGAUGUUGGCUUAGAAGCAGCCAUCAUUUAAAGAAAGCGUAAUAGCUCACUGGUCGAGUCGGCCUGCGCGGAAGAUGUAACGGGGCUAAACCAUGCACCGAAGCUGCGGCAGCGACGCUAUGUGUUGUUGGGUAGGGGAGCGUUCUGUAAGCCUGUGAAGGUGUACUGUGAGGUAUGCUGGAGGUAUCAGAAGUGCGAAUGCUGACAUAAGUAACGAUAAAGCGGGUGAAAAGCCCGCUCGCCGGAAGACCAAGGGUUCCUGUCCAACGUUAAUCGGGGCAGGGUGAGUCGACCCCUAAGGCGAGGCCGAAAGGCGUAGUCGAUGGGAAACAGGUUAAUAUUCCUGUACUUGGUGUUACUGCGAAGGGGGGACGGAGAAGGCUAUGUUGGCCGGGCGACGGUUGUCCCGGUUUAAGCGUGUAGGCUGGUUUUCCAGGCAAAUCCGGAAAACUAAGGCUGAGGCGUGAUGACGAGGCACUACGGUGCUGAAGCAACAAAUGCCCUGCUUCCAGGAAAAGCCUCUAAGCAUCAGGUAACAUCAAAUCGUACCCCAANCUAAGGCUGAGGCGUGAUGACGAGGCACUACGGUGCUGAAGCAACAAAUGCCCUGCUUCCAGGAAAAGCCUCUAAGCAUCAGGUAACAUCAAAUCGUACCCCAAACCGACACAGGUGGUCAGGUAGAGAAUACCAAGGCGCUUGAGAGAACUCGGGUGAAGGAACUAGGCAAAAUGGUGCCGUAACUUCGGGAGAAGGCACGCUGAUAUGUAGGUGAAGUCCCUCGCGGAUGGAGCUGAAAUCAGUCGAAGAUACCAGCUGGCUGCAACUGUUUAUUAAAAACACAGCACUGUGCAAACACGAAAGUGGACGUAUACGGUGUGACGCCUGCCCGGUGCCGGAAGGUUAAUUGAUGGGGUCAGCGCAAGCGAAGCUCUUGAUCGAAGCCCCGGUAAACGGCGGCCGUAACUAUAACGGUCCUAAGGUAGCGAAAUUCCUUGUCGGGUAAGUUCCGACCUGCACGAAUGGCGUAAUGAUGGCCAGGCUGUCUCCACCCGAGACUCAGUGAAAUUGAACUCGCUGUGAAGAUGCAGUGUACCCGCGGCAAGACGGAAAGACCCCGUGAACCUUUACUAUAGCUUGACACUGAACAUUGAGCCUUGAUGUGUAGGAUAGGUGGGAGGCUUUGAAGUGUGGACGCCAGUCUGCAUGGAGCCGACCUUGAAAUACCACCCUUUAAUGUUUGAUGUUCUAACGUUGACCCGUAAUCCGGGUUGCGGACAGUGUCUGGUGGGUAGUUUGACUGGGGCGGUCUCCUCCUAAAGAGUAACGGAGGAGCACGAAGGUUGGCUAAUCCUGGUCGGACAUCAGGAGGUUAGUGCAAUGGCAUAAGCCAGCUUGACUGCGAGCGUGACGGCGCGAGCAGGUGCGAAAGCAGGUCAUAGUGAUCCGGUGGUUCUGAAUGGAAGGGCCAUCGCUCAACGGAUAAAAGGUACUCCGGGGAUAACAGGCUGAUACCGCCCAAGAGUUCAUAUCGACGGCGGUGUUUGGCACCUCGAUGUCGGCUCAUCACAUCCUGGGGCUGAAGUAGGUCCCAAGGGUAUGGCUGUUCGCCAUUUAAAGUGGUACGCGAGCUGGGUUUAGAACGUCGUGAGACAGUUCGGUCCCUAUCUGCCGUGGGCGCUGGAGAACUGAGGGGGGCUGCUCCUAGUACGAGAGGACCGGAGUGGACGCAUCACUGGUGUUCGGGUUGUCAUGCCAAUGGCACUGCCCGGUAGCUAAAUGCGGAAGAGAUAAGUGCUGAAAGCAUCUAAGCACGAAACUUGCCCCGAGAUGAGUUCUCCCUGACCCUUUAAGGGUCCUGAAGGAACGUUGAAGACGACGACGUUGAUAGGCCGGGUGUGUAAGCGCAGCGAUGCGUUGAGCUAACCGGUACUAAUGAACCGUGAGGCUUAACCU